rfam:Bacteroidetes bacterium GWB2_41_8 gwb2_scaffold_2874, whole genome shotgun sequence.
UGUCGCCGGGUAAGUCCUGUACGACUAGCUCCUGUUGAAUUCCCCCAGGGUCGGAAGGCAGCAAGGGUAAACGGUUGAGCGGUGCGAUGCAGAUAGCUUACCCACUU